GGGGAGGGUGCUUGAGCACGUUGUCUUCAGCUCCUCAAAAGAUUUAAGUGUAUUAUAUGAUUUGUGCAAAACUUCAAGCAAGUGAUUAUUAGAACCUCUUUUCGUUACAAGCAGCCAACGAGUACUUCCCGUGUCCUCCAUCUUCGAGCCUCGACCCCCGCUUUGCACACGGACCUCUUGACGCCUCUCUCAGCCCCAAGGACCUACCGCUUGUCUCACAGACUUUUUUCUGCUUUGUCCAUCCUCUCGCCCAACACAUCACGGUAUAUGCCUUUGGAGGUGGGAGGAAGCCGGUGUCACCCAGAGGGAACCCACACAGUCACGGGGAGAAAAUGCAAACUCCACACAGAAAGAUCCCGAGCCCGGGAUCGAACCCAGGACCUUCGUAUUGUGAGGCACACAC